GAGUCGCCUCCGCCAACGACUUUUUUCCGGCAGGCCCGGGGGAACCAUUUCUCCGGCCGCGACGCUCCGGCAUGUGCGGCCUUGGGGUGAAGCCCGCAUCGCGCGGGCCGGGCGUCUCCCGCCCGAACCCGACAGCUAACCUCGUCGGCUCUGCAGGAGAAUUCA
rnacentral:sRNA from 2 species